AUUGAACGCUGGCGGCAUGCCUUACACAUGCAAGUCGAACGGUAAUGGGCCUUCGGGUGCCGACGAGUGGCGAACGGGUGAGUAAUACAUCGGAACGUGCCCGAUCGUGGGGGAUAACGAGGCGAAAGCUUUGCUAAUACCGCAUACGAUCUACGGAUGAAAGCAGGGGACCGCAAGGCCUUGCGCGGACGGAGCGGCCGAUGGCAGAUUAGGUAGUUGGUGGGAUAAAAGCUUACCAAGCCGACGAUCUGUAGCUGGUCUGAGAGGAUGAUCAGCCACACUGGGACUGAGACACGGCCCAGACUCCUGCGGGAGGCAGCAGUGGGGAAUUUUGGACAAUGGGCGCAAGCCUGAUCCAGCCAUGCCGCGUGCAGGAUGAAGGCCUUCGGGUUGUAAACUGCUUUUGUACGGAACGAAAAGCCUUCUUUUAAUACAGGAGGGUCAUGACGGUACCGUAAGAAUAAGCACCGGCUAACUACGUG
rnacentral:rRNA from 1 species